UUAAAAAAAACAAAAAAAUUGCAGAGCGAAAGAGGGAGAGAGAGGGAUGGUCCACACGUGCGUGUCUCCACCUCCACCUCCACCUCGUCGUCACUCAGUUUCGGCUCUCAAAUCUUCUCCGCUUUUAAUCCUACCUCCGCCUCCGACCCUCAGAAGCUCUCUCUACCUGCGGAGCCCUUUCGUUCCAGGAAAAAGAUAAGAGUUUGCCAAACUCGAGGAUAAUGAUCCAUCAGCCUCUUGGUGUAGCUCAAGGUGGGCAAACUGACAUAGAUAUUCAGACAUGAUCCUAAUAAGAGACGGUCUCAUGCCAAUGAAAUGCUGCAUCAUAAAGCAAACCUUAAUGGGUAUCUCUCCUACCACACUGGUCAAGAAAGUCUUGAAAGGAUUAAUCAAGAUACCGACUACAAUUUCUUCAUGAGUGCAAAAGAAGCCAAGGAAUAAAGGGCUUAUAGAUGGUGUCAUUAUGAAUCCUCUCAAAGCUCUCCAGCCACCAGCUGCUACAGCAGAGACAAAAGACGAGUCUAGCAUGUUAACACCUCUCAAAUGACCAUGCACUAGAUGGCAUGCAUGGCUAUAUAGUGACGUUAAAUGGGCAAAUGACCUUUUCUAGGUGCCUGACGACCCAUGUAACUUUGCAAUGUUGAUUACCGGUGUUGCACAGAAAUAAGAACCCGAAAUUUUGCUGUUCGUUCUAUCUGAACUUAUAGAUUGAGAAAUAGAUCAAUUUUUAGAUAUGAAAUUUGGAUUUGAGAAUAGAAUCUGUGCGAAAAUGCUUUAUUUUGUUAUUUCUAUAUAAUGGAUUUCUUUACGAAUUCUACAUACGGAUUUGCAUAAACUUUAGAAGCUAAUGGUUUGUUACAUAAGAAGUGUGCCCUCUAUGAUAUUUCCACUAUCAUCUGGGGGCUAGCCUACUUUUACAAGCCUUGCUCAGCAAUAGUAUGUUGGCAUCCUGCCCUGGACUGGAGCGAGCUUGUUUAUUGCUGUGGUCCAAGUUUUGCUUAGCAAUAGGUCCACCAUGACCGAUUGGAGCAACAACCCUCACCAUUCUCUCCACCAACCUUCUCAUCCUCACCGCAUUCAUCCAUCUGAUGCAUAUAUGUUCGAUGCCAAAUAACCUGCAGAAUCCAAUGGCUCCAGCACAAGAAGAUGGGAACAGGUUUUGAAGAUAGUUUGUACUGGUCUUUUUUGUAUUUUUCUUCGCUUUAGGUAAUUAUUCUCAAACUUGCCUUUAUAUUCUACACCUUUGAUCAUGUGUCAAGAUUUUUAACUUAUAAGCAGAAAAAAGUGUCUCAAGACACUUGGUUUCUGAUGA